GGCUUCGGGUACGGGCAGACCUCCAGGAGCACUCUGAUGUCACCGCAGCAGCUGUGCACCAAGCCUGCCAUCCGAAUAAGGAAUAUAAUGGAUAAACAGGACCACAGAUUGGGGAUAGAUAUGUGAGGGCGGAGGACUACGUCAGAUUUGGUGGACUGCGAUGAUGACCAGCAUUUUUUUUAUUAGGGCUGUGGGUAACCUCUACUGGUACUUGGGGGUUGAUAAUCCAAAUGAUUGGUCAUAACCGUGAAGACAUAAUUAUACAAAAGGCGCAGAAAUUCGACACAGUCUAUUGAUCCGGAGUACAAUUUAAGACAAGACGAUAAAGCAGAAGAAUUCUGAUACUGUAGCAGAGGCUUAACAGGCGGCAUUAAUAUUCAGGGCAGGACUGCGGUGAAUGACUGUCUGAUCACAGACCUGCAAGUGCACAGAGUGAAUGGAGAUGUGUGUUCACAUUAACAGCUGCUCCGAGCUUCUUUAUCCGUAUAGCCCUCUGCUCCGUCUUCGUCCUCACCUCAUACCUCCUCUGUAUACAAAUACUAGGGGUUACUGAAAAAUGUAUGUACCGUAUUUACAUGGAUAAUAUCUGCUUGGUGUACACCAAUACAUGGCACUACUACAUUAUACUACU